GAGCGGGGGAAGGUAGCUUGCUACUGGACCUAGCGGCGGACGGGUGAGUAAUGCUUAGGAAUCUGCCUAUUAGUGGGGGACAACAUCUCGAAAGGGAUGCUAAUACCGCAUACGUCCUACGGGAGAAAGCAGGGGAUCUUCGGACCUUGCGCUAAUAGAUGAGCCUAAGUCGGAUUAGCUAGUUGGUGGGGUAAAGGCCUACCAAGGCGACGAUCUGUAGCGGGUCUGAGAGGAUGAUCCGCCACACUGGGACUGAGACACGGCCCAGACUCCUACGGGAGGCAGCAGUGGGGAAUAUUGGACAAUGGGGGGAACCCUGAUCCAGCCAUGCCGCGUGUGUGAAGAAGGCCUUAUGGUUGUAAAGCACUUUAAGCGAGGAGGAGGCUACUUUAGUUAAUACCUAGAGAUAGUGGACGUUACUCGCAGAAUAAGCACCGGCUAACUCUGUGCCAGCAGCCGCGGUAAUACAGAGGGUGCGAGCGUUAAUCGGAUUUACUGGGCGUAAAGCGUGCGUAGGCGGCUUAUUAAGUCGGAUGUGAAAUCCCCGAGCUUAACUUGGGAAUUGCAUUCGAUACUGGUGAGCUAGAGUAUGGGAGAGGAUGGUAGAAUUCCAGGUGUAGCGGUGAAAUGCGUAGAGAUCUGGAGGAAUACCGAUGGCGAAGGCAGCCAUCUGGCCUAAUACUGACGCUGAGGUACGAAAGCAUGGGGAGCAAACAGGAUUAGAUACCCUGGUAGUCCAUGCCGUAAACGAUGUCUACUAGCCGUUGGGGCCUUUGAGGCUUUAGUGGCGCAGCUAACGCGAUAAGUAGACCGCCUGGGGAGUACGGUCGCAAGACUAAAACUCAAAUGAAUUGACGGGGGCCCGCACAAGCGGUGGAGCAUGUGGUUUAAUUCGAUGCAACGCGAAGAACCCUUACCUGGGCCUUGACAUACUAGAACUUUCCAGAGAUGGAUUGGUGCCCUUCGGGAAUCUAGAUACAGUGCUGCAUGGCUGUCGUCAGCUCGUGUCGUGAGAUGUUGGG
rnacentral:rRNA from 1 species